CUCAGAGGCUUUGACUCCUCUUGGCUCCCAGCACAAACAGGAACAAAUCUCUUACCUAAAAAGCAGAAUCCUAGCCAUGAAGAAAAGCUCUGGUUACUAUCUGUGCACAGAGAUGCAUUUAGAGUCAUUCUUUCUUGGAAUGGAGCAUCUGUAUUGAAACAUGCUCACCGUCAGCUGCAUGAUGAACAGCAAAGAACCUUCUCUGCAUGUGGAUAAAAGCCAAGCUCAGAUCUG